AGCGACAAUAGGGCGCAAGCCUGAUCCAGCCAUGCCGCGUGCAGGAAGAAGGCCUUCGGGUUGUAAACUG
rnacentral:rRNA from 1 species